rnacentral:rRNA from 1 species
CGCAACGCCGCGUGGAGGAUGAAGGUCCUUGGAUUGUAAACUCCUGUCAGCGGGGAAAAAGCGACCUGGCCUAAUACGCCGGGGAGUUGAUUGUACCCGCAGAGGAAGCCCCGGCUAACUCUGUGCCAGCAGCCGCGGUAAUACAGAGGGGGCAAGCGUUAUUCGGAAUUAUGGGCGUAAAGGGCGCGUAGGCGGCCUUUCAAGUGACGGGUGAAAUCCCUCGGCUUAACCGAGGAACUGCCUGUCAGACUGGAAGGCUUGAGACCGGGAGAGGUGAGUGGAAUUCCCAGUGUAGCGGUGAAAUGCGUAGAUAUUGGGAGGAACACCAGUGGCGAAGGCGGCUCACUGGACCGGUACUGACGCUGAGGCGCGAAAGCGUGGGGAGCAAACAGGAUUAGAUACCCUGGUAGUCCACGCCGUAAACGAUGAGUGCUUGGUGUAGCGGGUAUCGACCCCUGCUGUGCCGAAGUCAACACAUUAAGCACCCCGCCUGGGGAGUACGGUCGCAAGACUG